rnacentral:rRNA from 1 species
CCUACGGGCGGCUGCAGUGGGGAAUAUUGGACAAUGGGCGAAAGCCUGAUCCAGCCAUGCCGCGUGUGUGAAGAAGGCCUUCGGGUUGUAAAGCACUUUCAGUGGGGAAGAAAGCCUUGGGGCUAAUACCCUCGAGGAAGGACAUCACCACAGAAGAAGCACCGGCUAACUCCGUGCCAGCAGCCGCGGUAAUACGGAGGGUGCGAGCGUUAAUCGGAAUUACUGGGCGUAAAGCGCGCGUAGGCGGUCUGAUAAGCCGGUUGUGAAAGCCCCGGGCUCAACCUGGGAACGGCAUCCGGAACUGUCAGGCUAGAGUGCAGGAGAGGAAGGUAGAAUUCCCGGUGUAGCGGUGAAAUGCGUAGAGAUCGGGAGGAAUACCAGUGGCGAAGGCGGCCUUCUGGACUGACACUGACGCUGAGGUGCGAAAGCGUGGGUAGCAAACAGGAUUAGAUACCCGAGUAGUC